rnacentral:misc_RNA from 1 species
AUUAAUUAAUGGAAAGGUAGAGCCUUUGUGUUUGGACCCCUCCUCACUUUUAUUUACUCGUCUAUCACCCUCGCCGUCGUUCAAACAGACUCCGUGUUUGCUAUUUUUAUUUUUAUAAUUUACCUUAAAAGUUCCUAAUUUUAGUUUCAAGAUUGUCCUUGUUUUUUUCAACGUAACUCACUCAAAAGAACAAAAUCGUUUCUUUCUUCUAUCGUAAAAUUUCCUAGUUCAGUACUCUUAUAUUUUUUUUGACCUUUUUAGAAAUAAUAGUAAUGUGGGU